AUGCCUAAAGAAGUUAUUUUUCCGAGGUUUGGAGUCCCUAGAUAUCCCAUGACUGAUGGUGGUUCACAUUUUAUUCAUGGUGCUUUUCGUAAAAUGCUUGCUAAGUAUGAUGUCAAUCAUAGAGUUGCAUCUCCUUAUCACCCGCAGUCUAGUGGUCAAGUAGAGUUGAGUAAUCGAGAGCUCAAGUUAAUUUUGCAAAAGACUGUCAAUAGAUCUAGAAAGAAUUGGUCCAAGAAACUUGAUGAUGCAUUAUGGGCCUAUAGAACUGCAUAUAAAAAUCCUAUGGGUAUGUCUCCGUAUAAGAUGGUUUAUGGGAAAGCAUGUCACUUACCUCUUGAACUUGAACAUAAAGCAUAUUGGGCUAUUAAAGAGCUCAACUAUGACUUCAAACUUGCCGGUGAGGAGAGGUUAUUUGAUAUUAGCUCACUUGAUGAAUGGAGAACCCAGGCCUACAAGAAUGCCAAGUUGUUCAAAGAAAAAGUUAAAAGAUGGCAUCACAAAAGAAUACAAAAGCGUGAGUUUAACGUAGGUGAUUAUGUGUUGCUACUCAACUCUCGUUUAAGAUUUUUUGCAAGAAAACUUCUCUCUAAAUGGGAAGGCCCUUACGUUAUCGAGGAGGUCUAUCAUUCUGGUGCCAUAAAAAUCAACAACUUUGAAGGCACAAGUCUGAGGGUGGUGAACGAUCAAAGAAUCAAACAUUAUAUCUCAGGUAAUCCUAUAAAUGUUGAAACUAAUAUUAUUGAAACCGUAACCCCGGAGGAAUACAUAAGGGAUACUUUCCAGAAUGUUUCAGACUCCGAAAAGGAAUAG
rnacentral:rRNA from 1 species